UACGGAGGGUGCAAACGUUGCUCGGAAUCAUUGGGCGUAAAGCGCACGUAGGCGGCCUGUUAAGUCGGGUGUGAAAGCCCUCGGCUCAACCGAGGAAGUGCAUUCGAAACUGGCAGGCUUGAAUAUGGAAGAGGGUCGCGGAAGUUCCCGGUGUAGAGGUGAAAUUCGUAGAUAUCGGGAGGAACACCAGUGGCGAAGGCGGCGACC
rnacentral:rRNA from 1 species